rnacentral:rRNA from 1 species
CCUACGGGUGGCAGCAGUGGGGAAUAUUGGGCAAUGGGCGCAAGCCUGACCCAGCAACGCCGCGUGCAGAAAGAAGGUUUUCGGGUUGUAAACUUCUUUUCUCAGGGACGAAGCGUGUCACGGUACCUGAGGAAUAAGCUACGGCUACCUACGAGCCAGCCGCCGCGGUAAUACGUAGGUGGCAAGCGUUAUCCGGAUUUACUGGGUGCAAGGGGCGUGUAGGCGGGACUGCAAGUCAGCUGUGAAAACCACGGGCGCAACCUGUGGCCUGCAUUUGAAACUGUAGUUCUUGAGUACUGGAGAGGCAGACGGAAUUCCAAGUGUAGCGGUGAAAUGCGUAGAUAUUAGGAGGAACACCAGUGGCGAAGGCGGUCUGCUGGACAGCAACUGACGCUGAGGCGCGAAAGCGUGGGGAGCAAACAGGAUUAGAUACCCGAGUAGUC